AUUGAACGCUGGCGGCAUGCCUUACACAUGCAAGUCGAACGGCAGCACGGGAGCAAUCCUGGUGGCGAGUGGCGAACGGGUGAGUAAUACAUCGGAACGUGCCCAGUAGUGGGGGAUAACCCGGCGAAAGCCGGACUAAUACCGCAUACGACCUACGGGUGAAAGCAGGGGAUCGCAAGACCUUGCGCUAUCGGAGCGGCCGAUGUCAGAUUAGCUUGUUGGCGGGGUAAAAGCCCACCAAGGCGACGAUCUGUAGCUGGUCUGAGAGGACGACCAGCCACACUGGGACUGAGACACGGCCCAGACUCCUACGGGAGGCAGCAGUGGGGAAUUUUGGACAAUGGGCGCAAGCCUGAUCCAGCCAUGCCGCGUGCGGGAAGAAGG
rnacentral:rRNA from 1 species